CCUACGGGAGGCUGCAGUGAGGAAUAUUGGUCAAUGGACGCAAGUCUGAACCAGCCAUGCCGCGUGCAGGAAGACGGCUCUAUGAGUUGUAAACUGCUUUUGUACGAGGGUAAACGCAGAUACGUGUAUCUGUCUGAAAGUAUCGUACGAAUAAGGAUCGGCUAACUCCGUGCCAGCAGGCGAGGUUAUUCGGAGGAAUCAAGAGUUAGCCGGCUUUAUUGGGUUUAAAGGGUGCGUAGGCGGUCGGAUAAGUUAGAGGUGAAAACGCGAGGCUCAACUUCGGAAUUGCCUCUGAUACUGUGCGGCUAGAGAGUAGUUGCGGUAGGCGGAAUGUAUGGUGUAGCGGUGAAAUGCUUAGAGAUCAUACAGAACACCGAUUGCGAAGGCAGCUUACCAAGCUACGUCUGACGUUGAGGCACGAAAUCGUGGGGAGCAAACAGGAUUAGAUACCCGAGUAGUC
rnacentral:rRNA from 1 species